rnacentral:rRNA from 1 species
GAAGGGUCUUCGGACCCUAGCGGCGGACGGGUGAGUAACACGUAGGCAACCUGCCUGUGAGACUGGGAUAACAUAGGGAAACUUAUGCUAAUACCGGAUAGGGUUUUGCUUCGCCUGAAGCGAAACGGAAAGAUGGCGCAAGCUAUCACUUACAGAUGGGCCUGCGGCGCAUUAGCUAGUUGGUGAGGUAACGGCUCACCAAGGCGA